GUUCUAGGAGUCUUCGGUGGGCUACUUACGGAGCUAUUUCUGGUCUAUUUUUCUAGUCUGCUGCAGUUUCUAGCAACUACCGCUUCCUGCAAUCCCUGUUUCUGUUCAGCUGUUGCUAUUUCUACAGGCUGUUGUUUUUGCUUUGCUCAACCGGUCUAGCAAGUGAUAUCAUCAUCAAAGUUUGAGAAAUAUCCUUCCAUCUCCACAAGAAGUGAUUUGAUGCCUUCUAUUUUAGUCAUCUCAUCUUUAAAAAAUAUGAAGAAUACCGAUUGUCAUAUGAGCCUUUUUUAACAUAUCUACAGUUGGAAACCUUGAAGGGACAACUGAAGCAAUCGCUAAAUGAUGAUAGUUCACAACAAAGUGAGACUGUUGACAUUGAAACUUGUGACUAUUCGCUUCCUAAAACCUAUUUUGAUAAAGUAUGCAUUUUACAUUCUCAUUGUUGGUGCUGCAAUUUGGGCAACUUCUUGGGCAGAUAUCAUGUUGGAUAUGGACUAGAGAGACGAUCAACUAAAAAGAAGAUCAAGUAUUCAUAAGCAGCUUUAAACCAAUUGUUCAAAUUUGAGUUGUGUUUGCUUUUUUGUGGAAUCGAGAUCAUUACAAGGAUAUUCAUCAACAUUGAACCUAAAUGUACUUUGAUGUUUACCUGUAAUUGAAAAUGAUCUUUUACAUAUAAAUAUGUGGUUCUUUGGCUUAA